rnacentral:lncRNA from 1 species
CUUUAAGAGUUCUAGCCCCUCGAACUUGACUAGCCCUGUAUUAGUCAGAUUUCUCCAAAAACCUGACUUGAUCCUCUUAGAUCUUCCUUUAAACUUUUGAUUCUCUUUCUUAAGGACCCUCAUAACCCUUGUUUAGAUCAGAUAAGGCUUUGUCUUAAAUUUCAAAUCCUUGUCCUAAAUCUAAGAUAGGUUGUAAGAAAGAAGGGAGAGCAACGGAGAGAAAUUGGAAAGUCAAUCUGAAUUACAUCGGACACCCAGCACUCAGGCCU